UACGAAGGGGCUAGCGUUGCUCGGAAUCACUGGGCGUAAAGGGUGCGUAGGCGGGUUUCUAAGUCAGAGGUGAAAGCCUGGAGCUCAACUCCAGAACUGCCUUUGAUACUGGAAGUCUUAAGUAUGGCAGAGGUGAGUGGAACUGCGAGUGUAGAGGUGAAAUUCGUAGAUAUUCGCAAGAACACCAGUGGCGAAGGCGGCUCACUGGGCCAUUACUGACGCUGAGGCACGAAAGCGUGGGGAG
rnacentral:rRNA from 1 species